UAAUCUCUUCCGGUUGCCUUUUCCAAAUCAAUCAAGCAAAUAAAGAGAGUAAUUCUGGAUGAAGAAAGUAAAAUCAAUUUUGGGCUAGCCAGAAUUAUUAAGAGAGCAAAUUAAUGGAGGCAAAAUUUUCACCUUUUCCGAACCCUAAUCUCAAACCCUGCGAUUAAUGCGUUCUGUUCAAUCCAUUUCAAAGACGUUUUUGGUGAAGUUCGAUCUGCAAUGGCGCAUAAUAUUGCACGCAAGAAGUGGAGCGCAUGCAGUAUUCGCUUUAACAAGAGAAGCCACUGUUCGUGUAUCAUGAGAGGCUAGCAAAUUGCAGUUACAACCUAUAAGUUGCUUUAGGGUGGAGAGAGCUGCAAAGAAAGUGAGGUAAGCAGCCUUACUAUAAGGUAAUGUAUUUCGAAUUUUAACUAAUUACUGUAGAUUUUGGACCUAGUAAUGCCAAAUGUUCUCAUGUAAUCUUUAGCAUGAGCUGAUUGAAUAAGAUCAACUGGUAAAUCAAUGAAUUUUAAUGGAUAGAGCUCUUAAAUUUUGCACUCCUAAAACGUAGGUGCUUAGAGAAUUUUGCUCUUUCAUAUCAUAUGUAUACCUUGAUUGUAGCUAAGUUCAUCUUGCAUAAUUUGCAUCCCAUUUACUUAGUUUAGGCAUCUUUUGGUUCUUUGUGGAAAGAUGUGGAUGGAAAACAUUGUUCUAAGAGGUCUUUUAGAAUGAAGAUAAGUUCUAAGAGCCAAUUUUUGUUAAAAAUCAUGCAGGGGUGGGUAGUAGGACGUAAUUUUUGAUAAAUUAAGUUAGUACAGUGAAAAUCAAGGCCGUGGUAUUUCAGCAUUUUGGCAAUUAGUAUUUCCCUAAUAUCUGAUGAAUCAAAUCUAUGAAAUAAAAAUUAUCUACACACUUUUUGUUUCAUCAUUCACAUAACCAAGGUUUGUAAGAUAUAAGCAUUCCUAACAUAAAUGAUCAUCAAAAUGUAAUUUGAUGUAACGGAUCAGGUGUUGCUGAUUUAGAAACUAAUAUUGUGCUAAUGUCUACAAUUGCAGGCUAAUUGUAUUUAGAAACUAGUACUAUUUAUAUCAUGGUCCAUAUUUUGGUGUGGCCUAAUUGCCCGAUUUCUCAUUUAGUGCUAAACGGUAAGUAUUGUUCUCAUUUAGCUAGCGUUUUGAUUGAAGUUCAUUAAUCAUCAAUUAGGUUUCUCAUUAUUGAAAUAUGGUUCAUUAAUCAUCAAUUAGGUUUCUCAUUAUUGAAAUAUGGUUUAUUAAUUACACAAUUAGGAGUGUGCCUCAUUUAAUUACAAGAAAUGAGAUGGAGUGUUAAUGAUCUACAGGUAUUAAAUUACUCAUAGUAAUGUUGGGGUUGUUUUAAUGUUUAUUAUGCAUAACUGGCAGAUGUAGAAGGCAUAUUUUUGUUAUUUAUAUGCCUGCCUAAUGCAAUAAUGAACAGGGUGGAGCCUUUCAAAUUUUACUAUUAUGGUGUGCCAAAAAUGGGAAAUUUUUAAUUUCUAAAACAUAUGGAAUUUCAAACUCUGUUUAUACUUUGGUUUUGUAAUUUCACUUUUUUCUUAUGAGAUAUGCUUUGUUAUUGUUGCUAUUGUUAUUAUUUGACCAUAUAUGAUAUUUUUAUCAUUUCACAA